rnacentral:rRNA from 1 species
ACGAACGCUGGCGGCGCGCCUAACACAUGCAAGUCGAACGAGCGAGAGAGAGCUUGCUUUCUCGAGCGAGUGGCGAACGGGUGAGUAACGCGUGAGGAACCUGCCUCAAAGAGGGGGACAACAGUUGGAAACGACUGCUAAUACCGCAUAAGCCCACGGUGCCGCAUGGCACAGAGGGAAAAGGAGCAAUCCGCUUUGAGAUGGCCUCGCGUCCGAUUAGCUAGUUGGUGAGGUAACGGCCCACCAAGGCGACGAUCGGUAGCCGGACUGAGAGGUUGAACGGCCACAUUGGGACUGAGACACGGCCCAGACUCCUACGGGAGGCAGCAGUGGGGAAUAUUGCACAAUGGGGGAAACCCUGAUGCAGCGACGCCGCGUGGAGGAAGAAGGUCUUCGGAUUGUAAACUCCUGUUGUUGGGGAAGAUAAUGACGGUACCCAACAAGGAAGUGACGGCUAACUACGUGCCAGCAGCCGCGGUAAAACGUAGGUCACAAGCGUUGUCCGGAAUUACUGGGUGUAAAGGGAGCGCAGGCGGGAAGACAAGUUGGAAGUGAAAUCUAUGGGCUCAACCCAUAAACUGCUUUCAAAACUGUUUUUCUUGAGUAGUGCAGAGGUAGGCGGAAUUCCCGGUGUAGCGGUGGAAUGCGUAGAUAUCGGGAGGAACACCAGUGGCGAAGGCGGCCUACUGGGCACCAACUGACGCUGAGGCUCGAAAGUGUGGGUAGCAAACAGGAUUAGAUACCCUGGUAGUCCACACCGUAAACGAUGAUUACUAGGUGUUGGAGGAUUGACCCCUUCAGUGCCGCAGUUAACACAAUAAGUAAUCCACCUGGGGAGUACGACCGCAAGGUUGAAACUCAAAGGAAUUGACGGGGGCCCGCACAAGCAGUGGAGUAUGUGGUUUAAUUCGAAGCAACGCGAAGAACCUUACCAGGUCUUGACAUCCUACUAACGAGAUAGAGAUAUGUUAGGUGCCCUUCGGGGAAAGUAGAGACAGGUGGUGCAUGGUUGUCGUCAGCUCGUGUCGUGAGAUGUUGGGUUAAGUCCCGCAACGAGCGCAACCCUUAUGGUCAGUUACUACGUAAGAGGACUCUGGCCAGACUGCCGUUGACAAAACGGAGGAAGGUGGGGAUGACGUCAAAUCAUCAUGCCCUUUAUGACUUGGGCUACACACGUACUACAAUGGCGUUAAACAAAGAGAAGCAAGACCGCGAGGUGGAGCAAAACUCAGAAACAACGUCCCAGUUCGGACUGCAGGCUGCAACUCGCCUGCAUGAAGUCGGAAUUGCUAGUAAUCGCGGAUCAGCACGCCGCGGUGAAUACGUUCCCGGGCCUUGUACACACCGCCCGUCACACCACGAGAGUUUGUAACACCCGAAGUCGGUGAGGUAACCUUUUGGAGCCAGCCGCCUAAGGUGGGAUAGAUGAUUGGGGUG